UACGAAGGGGGCUAGCGUUGCUCGGAAUGACUGGGCGUAAAGGGCGCGUAGGCGGAUUGUACAGUCAGGCGUGAAAUUCCCGGGCUCAACCUGGGGGCUGCGCUUGAGACGUGCGAUCUUGAGUGGGGAAGAGGGUCGUGGAAUUCCCAGUGUAGAGGUGAAAUUCGUAGAUAUUGGGAAGAACACCGGUGGCGAAGGCGGCGACCUGGUCCUUGACUGACGCUGGGGCGCGAAAGCGUGGGGAGCAAACAGG
rnacentral:rRNA from 1 species